GAUGAACGCUAGCUACAGGCUUAACACAUGCAAGUCGAGGGGAAACGACAUUGAAGCUUGCUUCGAUGGUCGUCGACCGGCGCACGGGUGAGUAACGCGUAUCCAACCUGCCUCUGACCAAGGGAUAACCCGUCGAAAGUCGGCCUAAUACCUUAUGCAGUCGUCGGAAGUCAUCUGAUGACGACGAAAGAUUUCAUCGGUGAGAGAUGGGGAUGCGUCUGAUUAGCUUGUUGGCGGGGUAACGGCCCACCAAGGCAACGAUCAGUAGGGGUUCUGAGAGGAAGGUCCCCCACAUUGGAACUGAGACACGGUCCAAACUCCUACGGGAGGCAGCAGUGAGGAAUAUUGGUCAAUGGGCGAGAGCCUGAACCAGCCAAGUAGCGUGCAGGAUGACGGCCCUAUGGGUUGUAAACUGCUUUUGUGCGGGGAUAAAGUGAGGGACGUGUCCUUCAUUGCAGGUACCGCAUGAAUAAGGACCGGCUAAUUCCGUG
rnacentral:rRNA from 1 species